rnacentral:rRNA from 1 species
UACGUAGGCAGCGAGCGUUGUUCGGAGUUACUGGGCGUAAAGGGUGCGUAGGCGGUUGUUUAAGUUUGGUGUGAAAUCUCCCGGCUCAACUGGGAGGGUGCGCCGAAUACUGAAUGACUAGAGUGCGGGAGAGGAGAGUGGAAUUCCUGGUGUAGCGGUGAAAUGCGUAGAUAUCAGGAGGAACACCGGUGGUGUAGACGGCUCUCUGGACCGUAACUGACGCUGAGGCGCGAAAGCAUGGGUAGCAAACAGG